rnacentral:lncRNA from 1 species
CUGCAAAGCUGGUUGGGGAGGGGAGUCAGGCACCCCAGAGGGAGGGAGGGGCCCGUGGGCACGGGGGUGCUGGCCAGGCAGGGACGGACUGGCACCUGCAGGAAGGACAGGGGCUUGGCUGAGCAGAGCAUGGCCAGCCUAGCCGAGGGCAGCCAGCAUCCUACACUCACUGGUCUCGAGGUGCCCAAGCCAGGGGCCCAGGACUUUGGGCAUUACUGGGAAAUGAUGGGAACCCAGGGUGAGGUGGCGUGAAACAAGAUGAGAUGCUCAAUGAUUUGGGAGGUUGGUUAGUGUCAGGCCUCUGAGCCCAAGCCAAGCCAUCGCAUCCCCUGUGACUUGCACGUAUACGCCCAGAAGGCCUGAAGUAACUGAAGAAUCACAAAAGAAGUGACUAUGCCCUGCCCCACCUUAACUGAUGACAUUCCACCACAAAAGAAGUGCAAAUGGCCGGCCCUUGCCUUAACUGAUGACAUUACCUUGUGAAAGUCCUUUUCCUGGCUCAUCCUGGCUCAAAAAGCACCCCCACCGAGCACCUUGCAACCCCCACUCCUGCCCGCCAGAGAACAAACCCCCUUUGACUGUAAUUUUCCUUUACCUACCCAAAUCCUAUAAAACGGCCCCAAACUUAUCUCCCUUGGCUGACUCUCUUUUCGGACUCAGCCCGUCUGCACCCAGGUGAAAUAAACAGCCAUGUUGCUCACACAAAGCCUGUUUGGUGGUCUCUUCACACGGACGCGCAU